rnacentral:rRNA from 1 species
UUAAAUCAUUAAAUUUAAAAGAUUUGGCGGUAUUUUAUAUAAUUAGAGGAAUCUGUAUAAUAAUUGAUAAUCCACAAUAAGAAGAACUUAAUGAUUUAUGUAUUGCUGUUUAAAGAUUAUUAUUAAUUAAAUUUUUAAAUUAUUAUUUUAAUUUAAUUCAAGUCAAAAUAUAGUUUUGUUAAGAUAUGGAUUACAAUUUGAUUUUGAAAUAGGAUUUAAUAGUAA